AGUGAGAUGGUCAAGCGGUCUAAGGUGCCAGAUCUAGACUAAGGAUCUGGUCUUGUCAGGGGUGGGAGUUCAAAUCCCCUUCUCAUCA